CAGAUUUGACUACUGAAAAGCCUGGUGCUCCCACUUUUGUAACUCUUGUGAAACCAGCAUCAGAUCUUGUGGAAGAAGAGUCACACAUGACGCAGUCUAAGCCGACAUCUACUACGACCACAGGUCUGACUGUUAGCAAGUCCCAUGCUUCCACUCCUGUAACACCUAUAAAACAAACAGGUAACAAAAUUACAGAUAAAGUGUGACUUUAAAUAAUCACAAAUCAAUCCGUGUUUCUGAGUAUUAUGACUAUUUUGAAAAGUACUUUUCUUCAUUCACCAGGUCAUACUGUUGGUACAUCAAGUGACUCGGGUAGUUCUGUCUCUACUUUCAUAA